CCUGUAGCUCAGUUGGAUAGAGCAUCUGCCUUCUAAGCAGGUUGUCGGGAGUUCGAAUCUCUCCAGGCG
rnacentral:tRNA from 1 species